ncrna:Ictalurus punctatus (channel catfish) microRNA ipu-mir-34b precursor
AGGCAGUGUUGUUAGCUGAUUGUUUCAUAUGAACUAUAAUCACUAACCAUACUGCCAACA